rnacentral:lncRNA from 1 species
GUUGGCAGUAAGGAGAAAAAGAUCUACCAGGCAAGUGCCUGCAAGUCAUAGUACCUCAGGGAUUCCAAUCAACAUUUGCUUGCUGGUGAGUGGUUCUACUUCAAGUUAAGAAACAAAUUCUCAUGGCAAACUGCUUGGAUACUGUUUCCCAAAAGUUAGAAGAACCAAGCCUGCAAGGUGGCAUGGAUUCCUCCGGAAGGACUCCACCCAACUUUGGUCUCAGCAGGCCCUGCUGAGAACAGCCUCGUCACAGAAAAGUGCUGAGGAGGAUGCAAAAGUCUCCAUCAAGGUGCCACUGUGAAAGAAGAAACAUAUUUGCUGGACAAAGCUCUCCUUGAAGACAGGACCAUGUCUUAUUCAACUUUGUAAUCCCAGGACCUGGCACAAAAGCUGGCACCUAUUCAGUGCCUUGGUUCUUUGAGUGUGGCCCUGGACCAGAAGCAUCAACAUCAACCAGGAACUUACUAGAAAUGCACUUUCUUGGGUGCCCCACAAGACCUGCUGAAUCAGAAACUCUGGGGAUGUAGUUCAACACCUGUGCGCUGACAAGCCCUCCAGGUGAUCCGGAUACAUGCUCACGUUUGAGAACCGUGGCUUUACGGGAGAAAACAGUCAUGAUUGCUUACAACAGAAUACCAUAAAUUGCUUUUUGAAAAGCAGUGCAAUAUAUGGGCAUACUAAAAUUGAAGCAUGACAGAUAAAUAUGACAUCAGGAUGUCAUCCAAUGAAAAAUAGAUUUUUUAUUCUGUGUCCUGGACACGGCAUUGCUGAUUUUUAUUUAUCCACCUUUCUCCUGCCUGAGGGAAAACAAGUAUUUAAAAUGCAUUGCUAUUUGCAUUGAUAUAUUUGUCUGCUCUUCUCUGUCUGGCUCCAUGCUCUGUGGGGCUGACUCCUGUGGACUGGAUCUCCUGAGCUUGGUGCUGACUGGAUGCUGGUUGGUUCAACCAAUAAAAGUCACCAUCCAGGGACUGGAGGACAUGAUGAAAGGGAGGUUGGGGCAUUUCCUCCAGCUGUCACGCACUGUCUCUGAAGAGCUUGUCUGCUCCCUGAAGCCUCAAGAUCAUUCCUCAAAGACACGGAGUGCUGAUUGGGACAUCCCGCAGGUUAAAGUGAGUUUCGGACUCGAUGGUUCUGCACAGCAAAGCUGGGCCGUGUCCCACUUCAACCUCACUUUAUGGGAUUUACGGCACAUUUUGAAGAUGAGUGAUUAGAAGAUAAAGACUGGAGAAGUUUGCUCCUUGGUGACUGAGCUAAUGAAGAGAAAGGAAGGCGAACAAGAAUAUGGGAAUAUUCAACAUUCUUACUGUCUCCCCUUACUGUCAAACCAAUCUAGGGGGUUUCUUACUGAGCUCGGAUUAAGACCCAGAUUUUUGACACAGUUAUGUUGUUAGUCAUUUCUGGUGUCUAGUUUAAAGAUGCAAACAACGUCGCUGAAAAAAAUGAUUAAAUAAUUCUUGAAGAUUUUGG